rnacentral:rRNA from 1 species
AAGGGCCCUAGUGGCAAGCCAUGGUGGACCCUCCCCACAAAAAAUAAAUUUAAUAUCGUUGUGAGCACAUGGUUCACAUAUAAGAUAUUAAACUGUUAA